rnacentral:rRNA from 1 species
GGCUUAGAGUUUGAUCAUGGCUCAGGAUGAACGCUAGCUACAGGCUUAACACAUGCAAGUCGAGGGGCAGCGGGAUUGAAGCUUGCUUCAAUUGCCGGCGACCGGCGCACGGGUGAGUAACGCGUAUCCAACCUUCCGCUUACUCGGGGAUAGCCUUUCGAAAGAAAGAUUAAUACCCGAUUGUAUCUUAAGCACGCAUGAGAUUAAGAUUAAAGAUUUAUCGGUAAGCGAUGGGGAUGCGUUCCAUUAGGCAGUUGGCGGGGUAACGGCCCACCAAACCUACGAUGGAUAGGGGUUCUGAGAGGAAGGUCCCCCACAUUGGAACUGAGACACGGUCCAAACUCCUACGGGAGGCAGCAGUGAGGAAUAUUGGUCAAUGGGCGAGAGCCUGAACCAGCCAAGUAGCGUGAAGGAUGACGGCCCUACGGGUUGUAAACUUCUUUUGUGCGGGAAUAAAGGAGCCUACGUGUAGGCUUUUGCAUGUACCGUAACGAAUAAGCAUCGGCUAACUCCGUGCCAGCAGCCGCGGUAAUACGGAGGAUGCGAGCGUUAUCCGGAUUUAUUGGGUUUAAAGGGAGCGUACACGGGUUUUUAAGUCAGCUGUGAAAGUUUGGGGCUCACCUUUAAAAUUGCAGUUGAAACUGGAGACCUUGAGUACGGUUGAGGCAUGCGGAAUUCGUGUGUAGCGGUGAAAUGCUUAGAUAUCACGAGGACCCCGAUUGCGAAGGCAGCCUGCUCAGCCGCCACUGACGUUGAGGCUCGAAAGUGCGGGUAAUCAAACAGAUUAGAUACUCCUGGUAGUCUGCACGAUAAACGAUGGAUACUCGCUGUUGUCGAUAGACGGCAGCGGCCAAACGAAAGCUGCUA